rnacentral:rRNA from 1 species
UACGUAGGGUGCGAGCGUUGUCCGGAAUUAUUGGGCGUAAAGAGCUUGUAGGCGGUUUGUCGCGUCUGCCGUGAAAAUCCGGGGCUCAACCCCGGACUUGCAGUGGGUACGGGCAGACUGGAGUGUGGUAGGGGAGACUGGAAUUCCUGGUGUAGCGGUGGAAUGCGCAGAUAUCAGGAGGAACACCGAUGGCGAAGGCAGGUCUCUGGGCCACUACUGACGCUGAGGAGCGAAAGCGUGGGGAGCAAACAGG